rnacentral:rRNA from 1 species
UAUAAGCAUUAUACAGCGAAACUGCGAAUGGCUCAUUAUAUAAGUUAUCGUUUAUUUGAUAGUGCCUGUCCUACUUGGAUAACCGUGGUAAUUCUAGAGCUAAUACAUGCUAAAAAUCCCGACUUCGGAAGGGAUGUAUUUAUUAGAUUAAAAGCCAAUGCCCUCCGGGGCUCACUGGUGAUUCAUAAUAACUUCACGGAUCGCACGGCCUUGCGCCGGCGAUGGUUCAUUCAAAUUUCUUCCCUAUCAACUUUCGAUGUUUGGGUAUUGGCCAAACAUGGUGGCAACGGGUAACGGAGGGUUAGGGCUCGACCCCGGAGAAGGAGCCUGAGAAACGGCUACUACAUCCAAGGAAGGCAGCAGGCGCGCAAAUUACCCAAUCCCGAUUCGGGGAGGUAGUGACAAUAAAUACUGAUACAGGGCUCUUUUGGGUCCUGUAAUUGGAAUGAGUACAAUUUAAAUCCCUUAACGAGGAACAAUUGGAGGGCAAGUCUGGUGCCAGCAGCCGCGGUAAUUCCAGCUCCAAUAGCGUAUAUUAAAGUUGUUGUGGUUAAAAAGCUCGUAGUUGAAACUUGGGCCUGGCUGGCCGGUCCGCCUCACCGCGUGUACUGGUCCGGCCGGGUCUUUUCCUCUGUGGAACUCCAUGCCCUUCACUGGGUGUGGCAGGGAAACAGAACUUUUACUUUGAAAAAAUUAGAGUGCUUCAGGCAGGCCUUUGCUCGAAUACAUUAGCAUGGAAUAAUAAAAUAGGGCGUGUGGUUCUAUUUUGUUGGUUUCUAGGACCGCCGUAAUGAUUAAUAGGGACAGUCGGGGGCGUCAGUAUUCCACAGUUAGAGGUGAAAUUCUUGGAUCUGUGGAAGACUAACUGCUGCGAAAGCGUUCGUCAAGGAUGUUUUCAUUAAUCAGGAACGAAAGUCAGGGGAUCGAAGACGAUCAGAUACCGUCGUAGUCUUGACCAUAAACUAUGCCGACUAGGGAUCGGGCGAUGUUAUAUUUUGACUCGCUCGGCACCUUACGAGAAAUCAAAGUGC